CUUGCACUUCUUGAGAGUGGCGAACGGGUGAGUAACACGUAGGUGAUCUACCGCAGGGGUUGGGGAUAGCGGAUGGAGACAUGGGGUAAUACCGAAUACGCUCAUUUGGCUGUGGCCGGAUGAGGAAAGGCGCUUCGGCGUCGCCCUGCGAUGAGCCUGCGCCCCAUUAGCUAGUUGGUAGGGUAAAGGCCUACCAAGGCGACGAUGGGUAGCCGGCCUGAGAGGGUGAUCGGCCACACUGGGACUGAGAUACGGCCCAGACUCCGACGGGAGGCAGCAGCUAAGAAUCUUCCGCAAUGGACGAAAGUCUGACGGAUUGACGCCGCGUGGGUGAAGAAGGCCGGAAGGUUGUAAAGCCCUUUUCUCGUUGAGGAAUAAGCACAGGAGGGAAUGCCUGUGCGAUGACGGUAGGCGAGGAAUAAGUCCCGGCCAAUUACGUGCCAGCAGCCGCGGUAACACGUAUGGGACGAGCGUUGUUCGGAAUCCUUGGGCGUAAAGGGCGCGUAGGCGGCGAAGGUAAGCCUGGUGU
rnacentral:rRNA from 1 species